GGUGGCUCAAUGGUAGAGCGCUUGCCUUGCAUGCAUGAGACCCUGGGUUCGAUUCCUCAGCACCA
rfam:Dipodomys ordii contig_13268, whole genome shotgun sequence.